rnacentral:rRNA from 1 species
GACGAACGCUGGCGGCGUGCUUAACACAUGCAAGUCGAACGGAAAGGCCCUGCUUUUGUGGGGUGCUCGAGUGGCGAACGGGUGAGUAACACGUGAGUAACCUGCCCUUGACUUUGGGAUAACUUCAGGAAACUGGGGCUAAUACCGGGUAGGAGCUCCUGCUGCAUGGUGGGGGUUGGAAAGUUUCGGCGGUUGGGGAUGGACUCGCGGCUUAUCAGCUUGUUGGUGGGGUAGUGGCUUACCAAGGCUUUGACGGGUAGCCGGCCUGAGAGGGUGACCGGCCACAUUGGGACUGAGAUACGGCCCAGACUCCUACGUGAGGCAGCAGUGGGGAAUAUUGCACGAUGGGCGGAAGCCUGAUGCAGCAACGCCGCGUGCGGGAUGACGGCCUUCGGGUUGUAAACCGCUUUCGCCUGUGACGAAGCGUGAGUGACGGUAAUGGGUAAAGAAGCACCGGCUAACUACGUG